rnacentral:rRNA from 1 species
UACGGGGGGGGCAAGCGUUGUUCGGAAUUACUGGGCGUAAAGGGCUCGUAGGUGGCCAACUAAGUCAGACGUGAAAUCCCCAGGCUCAACUUGGGAACUGCGUCUGAUACUGGAUGGCUUGAAUUCGGGAGAGGGAUGCAGAAUUCCAGGUGUAGCGGUGAAAUGCGUAGAUAUCAGGAAGAACACCAAUGGCGAAGGCAGCUCUCUGGGACGGUACUGACGCUGAGACGCGAAAGCGUGGGGAGCGAACAGG